GGGGAAUAUUGCACAAUGGGCGCAAGCCUGAUGCAGCCAUGCCGCGUGUGUGAAGAAGGCCUUCGGGUUGUAAAGCACUUUCAGCGGGGAGGAAGGCGUUAAGGUUAAUAACCUUGUCGAUUGACGUUACCCGCAGAAGAAGCACCGGCUAACUCCGUGCCAGCAGCCGCGGUAAUACGGAGGGUGCAAGCGUUAAUCGGAAUUACUGGGCGUAAAGCGCACGCAGGCGGUCUGUCAAGUCGGAUGUGAAAUCCCCGGGCUCAACCUGGGAACUGCAUUCGAAACUGGCAGGCUAGAGUCUUGUAGAGGGGGGUAGAAUUCCAGGUGUAGCGGUGAAAUGCGUAGAGAUCUGGAGGAAUACCGGUGGCGAAGGCGGCCCCCUGGACAAAGACUGACGCUCAGGUGCGAAAGCGUGGGGAGCAAAC
rnacentral:rRNA from 1 species